rnacentral:rRNA from 1 species
UACAGAGGUCUCAAGCGUUGUUCGGAUUCAUUGGGCGUAAAGGGUGCGUAGGCGGCGCGGUAAGUCGGGUGUGAAAUCUCGGAGCUUAACUCCGAAACUGCAUUCGAUACUGCCGUGCUUGAGGACUGGAGAGGAGACUGGAAUUCAUGGUGUAGCAGUGAAAUGCGCAGAUAUCAGGAGGAACACCGGUGGCGAAGGCGGGUCUCUGGGCAGUAACUGACGCUGAGGAGCGAAAGCGUGGGGAGCGAACAGG